rnacentral:rRNA from 1 species
GAAGUGGGUAGUCCGCACGAGCGCACCCUGUCGUUAGUUGCCAUCAUUAAGUUGGGCACUCUAGCGAGACUGCCGGUGUUAAACCGGAGGAAGGUGGGGAUGACGUCAAGUCCUCAUGGCCCUUACGGUCGGGGCUACACACGUGCUACAAUGGCAGGUACAAUGUGUCGCGAGAUCGCGAGAUUGAGCCAAUCACAAAAAACCUGCCUCAGUUCGGAUUGGAGUCUGCAACUCGACUCCAUGAAGUCGGAAUCGCUAGUAAUCGUGGAUCAGCAUGCCACGGUGAAUACGUUCCCGGGCCUUGUACACACCGCCCGUCACACCACGGGAGUUGUUUGGACCCAAAGUCACCGAGCCAACCUGCAAAGGAAGCAAGUGCCUAAGGUCUGAAUAGCGACUGGGGUGAAGUCGUAACAAGGUAGCCGUAGGGGAACCUGCGGCUGGAUCACCUCCUUU